GACGAACGUUGGCGGCGUGCUUAAUACAUGCAAGUCAACUGAAGCAGUGGUAGCAAUAUCGCUGUGGAGGUGGCGCACGGGUGAGUAACACGUAGGUAAUCUGCCUUCAGGUCUGGCAUAACUCCGGGAAACCGGGGCUAAUAGCAGAUGAUGCAGCGGCUCGACAUCGAGACAGUUGUUAAAGCUAUGGCGCCUGAAGAUGAGCCUGCGUCUGAUUAGCUAGUUGGCGGGGUAACGGCCCACCAAGGCAACGAUCAGUAGCUGGUCUGAGAGGAUGAUCAGCCACACUGGAACUGAGACACGGUCCAGACUCCGACGGGAGGAAGCAGUAAGGAAUAUUGCUCAAUGGGAGAAAUCCUGAAGCAGCAACGCCGCGAGAGGGACGAAGGGCUUUUGCUUGUAAACCUCUGUAGUGAGAGAAAAAAAUCCCAAUCUUUGGGACAUGAUGGUAUCUCAAAAGUAAGCCCCGGCUAACUACGUG
rnacentral:rRNA from 1 species